CUUGUGGCCAUAUCACCUUUAAAACACCUGAUCUCGUACGAUCACCGAAGUUAAGUAAUGUCAAACCUGGUCAGUGCUUAGAUGGCUGAUCGCUUGGUAAUAUUAGGUCCUGUAA